CCCUUAGAUGUUCUGGGCCGCACGCGUGCUACACUGAGUGGAUCAGCGGGUCAGGUUGCGCGAAAGCGUUUCCUAAUCUUUAAAUCCGCUCGUGAUGGGGAUUGACGGUUGCAAUUUUCCGUCGUGAACGAGGAAUACCUUGUAGGCGCGUGUCAUCAUCACGCGCCGAAUACGUCCCUGCCCUUUGUACACACCGCCCGUCGCUCCUACCGAUUGAGUGAUCCGGUGAGGCUCUGGGACCUGGACGGAAAGAGCGUUUCGCUUGUUCUGUUUGGGAAACUUGGUCGAACCUUAUCAUUUAGAGGAAGGAGAAGUCGUAACA
rnacentral:rRNA from 1 species